CUAGUCUUUGAGCUGUUAAUUUAAGUUAUUUUUUUUCUAAUCAUACAUUCUCAUAAAAAAGUAAAUUUAUCUGUUACUACGUUACAUUAUGUGUACAUAUUAGUACCUUUUAGCUUUUGUACCUACACAGGAAAAAUGAGAGAGUACUUUUUUCGGAGUUACCAUCAGUAAUUUUUAUUUAAGUAGGUGUAAAAACGUAGAGGAAAUAUGUUGGAGUAAUCCAGCGAGACCACGCCCACUCUACUUUCUUAAGUUUCGUUUCUUCCGCCAUUUUGUUAUCCCGCAGCGGCCGGAGGAAGAUAAAGGCUGUGACUGAGGAAAGAUGCAAGCUGUGCGUGAACAUGUUGAACGCUAACAAAAAAAUGUUUUGAAGUUCAGCUGACCUUCAAAUCCUUUUGGGAAUGUGCUGCCAAAAAGUUCAACAUCCCAACCUUGGACUUGAAAGUGUUUGAUG